UACGUAGGUGGCAAGCGUUGUCCGGAAUUAUUGGGCGUAAAGCGCGCGCAGGCGGUCCUUUAAGUCUGAUGUGAAAGCCCACGGCUCAACCGUGGAGGGUCAUUGGAAACUGGGGGACUUGAGUACAGAAGAGAAGAGUGGAAUUCCACGUGUAGCGGUGAAAUGCGUAGAGAUGUGGAGGAACACCAGUGGCGAAGGCGACUCUUUGGUCUGUAACUGACGCUGAGGAACGAAAGCUAGGGGAGCAAACAGG
rnacentral:rRNA from 1 species